rnacentral:rRNA from 1 species
AGUGAACGCUGGCGGUAGGCCUAACACAUGCAAGUCGAACGGCAGCACAGUAAGAGCUUGCUCUUACGGGUGGCGAGUGGCGGACGGGUGAGGAAUACAUCGGAAUCUACUUUUUCGUGGGGGAUAACGUAGGGAAACUUACGCUAAUACCGCAUACGACCUACGGGUGAAAGCAGGGGAUCUUCGGACCUUGCGCGAUUGAAUGAGCCGAUGUCGGAUUAGCUAGUUGGCGGGGUAAAGGCCCACCAAGGCGACGAUCCGUAGCUGGUCUGAGAGGAUGAUCAGCCACACUGGAACUGAGACACGGUCCAGACUCCUACGGGAGGCAGCAGUGGGGAAUAUUGGACAAUGGGCGCAAGCCUGAUCCAGCCAUACCGCGUGGGUGAAGAAGGCCUUCGGGUUGUAAAGCCCUUUUGUUGGGAAAGAAAAGCAGCAGGUUAAUACCCCGCUGUUCUGACGGUACCCAAAGAAUAAGCACCGGCUAACUCGUG